AAAAAAAAAUAGAGACAUUUGCCAGAACAUAUCUUCAUUUCAUUACAUCAGGAAAGCUUUCUAGAGUCUAAUUUUUUUGUAAAGUUUACAGAAAUGUAAAGGAAAGCAGACGCUCCAGAUGUUUAUGUGUCAGGAUUUUGCAGAUAGUUUGCUGUUGUUUGUGGGCCUGACCUACAGAACAAUUAAUGAAAGUGAAAAAACGUCUAACAGUGAAAAGAGUUGAUCGCACAUGAAUAAAAAAAAAAAAAAAAAAAAAAAAAAAAACUUUGUUGCUGUUAUGCUGCCUUUAAGUCUCAGAGAACCAAAGUCCUGGGCGUAUAUUCAGUUAAAACCUCAGGAGAACCAGGUUGGUCUCAUCCGGAGUCAGAAGUCAGGCGGCAAACAGCUGACGGUCGCCUCAAAGCCGGUGGGUUUUUGUAAGCGUGACUUGGCGGUGUGCUCAGGCAGCUAUCAGGCCUAUUUUGGAGAAGGAACCAGGCUGACGGUUCUUGAAUCAGGUAUAAACGUCACAGCUCCAACUAGAGUCAAGGUUCUUUCACCUUCUGAGAAGGAGUGCAGUAGCGGCAAAAAGACCCUGGUCUGUGUGGCGUCUGGUUUCUAUCCGGACCAUGUCAGCGUCUCCUGGAUGAUUAAUGAGGAAACUGUCAGCAAAGGUGUGGCGACGGACAGCGCCGCCACGAGGUACGGCACAUCCUACAGAAUCACCAGCCGGCUGACCGUUUCCUCUGAGGAGUGGACCUCAGACAUCAAGUUCGUCUGCAGUGUCAGCUUCUUCAAUGGAACAACAACCACAUAUCAUAAUGACAGCAUCACUGGUGAAGCUAAGAAAAGCCCAUCAGGAACGGAGCUGAGCAGAGACAAAUACCUGAGGAUCACUCAGAGCGCCAAGCUCUCCUACAUCAUCUUCAUCGUGAAGAGCUGCAUCUAUGGAGCCUUCAUCUGGUUUGUGGCCUGGAAGCUUCAGAGUUUGGCAGAAAAGAAGAGGAAAAGGUGAGGGACGGGCCGAAGAGGAGCGGCAUUCUGCUGUAAAUCAAGUCUGAAGAUCAGAGUUUUUCAUGUUUCUGAUAAUACAUUUUCAAUAAAAAUGAUAAAAA